AUGGUGGGAGUGGCCGCCCCCAGAGCCGAGGGGAUACACAGUUGUCAUCGGAGCCCCCGGAGACCAGUGGCAUUCUCAGCCCCCACCAGCCAGCCCUGCAACUCUGCACCACGUCCUGUCCCCUCAGGAGAGCGCCCGUGGGACAGCACCCAGAUGUCUCUGAUGUCCUCCUCUGAAGGCCGCGUGGCCACCUCUUCAUGCGGUCCCCUGGGAGAUGUCCUCGGGAAGCCCGACAGGGACGCGGCGGUGCUCUCGGCCCCAACCCCACGCUGCCCCUUGCCGCAGGACACAUCCGCGGAGGAGGCGGAGACUGAAAAGCAUCAGCCCGUCCAGAGCGUGCGGGACGCCUGGAGGAAGGACGUACAGGCUGGGGAGCCCUCAGGCGUCUCAUCCCGGGGCCGGCUCCCAGCAGCAUCUGCCAGCAGCGGGCACCGCCAGAGGAAACUAGGCAUGGCCCUAGCCUGCCCCUGCCGCCACCGCUACCACUGCUGUGGGGUCGCGGGGACUUGCCCCCACCCCCUAAGCUUCCUUGCGUUGCCACCGACAAGGACCUGGGCCCCUUGCAGAACAGCGAGUGUCCGGGGAACGACACCUGGAAGGACAGAGCACAGACCCUGGCCGACCGCGGGCCGCUCAGCCUGCCCCUUCCUCCCCACUGGCCUCGGGGACGCAGGCUCUCCGCCUCCGGCCGCUCACGCUUCCCACGUCCGGGUGCCUCCCACCGACGGGGCUGACCCUCCUGCCAGGCCCGGAUCCUAUCUGUGCCUCCGUGUUCCCCAACACAGCGUGGUGGUCGGGAACCAGGACGUGUCCUUCCUCAAUCUCCUCCUCUUGCUGUUCCUGCUGAUUCUCUUCCUCCCCUUAGUUCCAGAGCCAUCGGGGAAACUCCGCUUCAGGGAGCUCCUCUUCCACCAGGCCGCCCAGGACAGCUCCCUCUGGCCGCCCCACACCUCCUACCACCUCGGCCUCCUUACACCCGCCUCCUGCACAAAAGCAUCCCCAAGCCCUGUGUGUGUAGACUCUGCCCCGCUCUUCCUGACAACCCCUCUUCCAGGCCACUCCACAGAGGGCUCCGUCGUCGGAGUCCAGCCUGGCCCCUCUAAGCCGACUUCUACCAUGGCAGCAAAGUCAUCUACUCUGACCCCCAAGCCGAUUUCACGUCCUGCUGUCGUGGACGUGGACACUGCGCCUGCUUCCCGGGCUGUCCUCAGCGCACCCCCACACCGCAGGAUGAGCUGUCCUCCCUGUUCCCGGGGCCGCGGCAGUGUGACGCAGAGGUGCCCUGCGAAAGUGGCAGCAUCCACCAGUGCACCGACAUCGAUGGCCCCGGCCCCACCCCACGUCAUCAACUCUUCGGCCUCCACAUCACCCCUCAGCCCACACAGGGGACUCUUGCUGGGAGGCAGCAAACAGCUUUUCUUCCCGGUGCUCCUAUCGCCAUUGGCUUGCCCAACCUCAGUUCUGGAGCCACCACCACCCCAGGAGGCAGCACCUCUGCAAACCCCAACGCUCACUCGGACCCCGAUGCCAUGGAUACCACAUCUCCCUCCCGGGCUGUCAUCUUUCAGGCCCCCCAGGGUCCCAGAAGAACCAUUUGUCAUUUUACAAGGCACUUCCAGGUUCUGGCAACGCACCACCCAGUAG
ensembl:lncRNA